rnacentral:rRNA from 1 species
UACAGAGGGGGCAAGCGUUGUUCGGAAUUACUGGGCGUAAAGGGCGCGUAGGCGGCCUUCUAAGUCGAACGUGAAAUCCCCGGGCUCAACCCGGGAACUGCGUCCGAUACUGGAAGGCUUGAAUCCGGGAGAGGGAUGCGGAAUUCCAGGUGUAGCGGUGAAAUGCGUAGAUAUCAGGAGGAACACCGGUGGCGAAGGCGGCCCUCUGGACGGAUACUGACGCUGAGACGCGAAAGCGUGGGGAGCAAACGGG